rnacentral:rRNA from 1 species
CGCGUAGGUGGUUCAGUAAGUUGGAAGUGAAAUCCCCGGGCUCAACCUGGGAACUGCUUUCAAAACUGCUGAGCUAGAGUACGGUAGAGGGUGGUGGAAUUUCCUGUGUAGCGGUGAAAUGCGUAGAUAUAGGAAGGAACACCAGUGGCGAAGGCGACCACCUGGACUGAUACUGACACUGAGGUGCGAAAGCGUGGGGAGCAAACA